UGUGUGGUGUUGAGAAAGUGAAUGUGUGGCUUGAGAAAGAGAGAGAAGUGGGGUAUGUGUAGCCCAUGCAACCUAGCUAGCUAUGUAGCUAGUAACUUAUGGGACUUGUUACUAGCUGUGUGAUGUUUGUGUGUGUGUCUGUGUGUUCACCCAUGCAUUUUAAUGAGUGCAGGUUCUAAGUAGUUUGAGUGUUACAAAAAGUGAGUUGAUAUUACUUGAAAAUGUAUUGGCUAGAAUAGAUUAUGACGAUGACUGAAUGUUAAAGAAUUGUGUAUUGUUAUUUGUUUUUCAGAUGAAAAGCAUCUAGUGCUCAUUGCCAAGAUAGCUGGUUCCAUGAACGUCUGCAAGGAAACAAUCAGCUCAAAAAGGAGAAAACAAAAAGGAAACAUCAGAGGACAUCAUUUUUCCUUGAUAGCCAGCAAAUCUGCAGAGAAACAUUCAAAUUCCUAUACAUAUAAGCUGACUGCAGUGAUUAAAUUCUAUAAGGAAAAUGGCGUGGCUUCAAGGAAGAAGAGGUGUGGUGGUCGUCGUCACGCCAGUAAAAGGGUGAUGUCUUAUGAGGAUAUUCAGCAAAUUGUUCACUAUGUCAAAAACGUUGAUGUUCAGCGAUGUCGCUCCUAAGAUGGAUCCCUGGAAUUAAGAGGGCAGACAUCCAGGUGCUACUGACAUUUUAGACCAAGUCCUCUGUGUGGCGCAGGUACAAAAAUGUUUGAUGCAUGAUCAUGUUGAGUGUUUUCCUAAAUCCAACAUUCAACAUCUCAAGCAAGUGGGCCAGCGGCAAAGACUAACCAAUGCCCACACGAAUCGGAUCCAAAUAGGCCAUCAGUCAUUACUCUCUGGUGACGUGUGUGUGUGUGUGUGUGGUCAUAUUUUCUUUAACAUUUCGAAUUGAUUUGCUGUUUAGAGAGAACAGAGCUUACUCUGACCCUGUUUAGCUCUCAGCCCCUCCAUCCCCUUUCCUGUUUUAUCUCUUUUCAGAUGUUUACUCUGUGCGGUGUUCAUAAAAAUGCAGGUCCUGGGUUUGUGAGAGGGUUGCUUAGGCACAUCUACAUACUGUAUGCUGUACCCAGGGAAAAAAAUGUGUAUGAGUAUAGGCUGUACACUUUUUCUGUUACAUGUAUUUAUAAGAGACGUUAUUUAACGUGGGAAUUUCUUAUGUAUUUAUCCUCCCUAGCCUUAUCUUCGAAUGUAAUCUGACAUGGAAAAACAGGGCCAGAACCAUAUGUGCAAGGACUAUACGGGGUGCGGACAUUUGUACAUGCAUGUGCGCGUACACAUGAACACAAACACGUGCACACUGCGUGUAGUCCUCGCACAUACUGUAUCAUGGCAUGAACAUGUGCGGUGUGAGUUUUUCG
ensembl:lncRNA